GGGAAGGUAGCUCAGCCAUAGAGUGCAUGCCUUGCAAGCAUGAGGCCCUGGGUUCGAUUCCUCAGCACCA
rnacentral:tRNA from 1 species